rnacentral:rRNA from 1 species
ACGGGAGGCAGCAGUGGGGAAUAUUGCACAAUGGGCGCAAGCCUGAUGCAGCGACGCCGCGUGAGCGAAGAAGUAUUUCGGUAUGUAAAGCUCUAUCAGCAGGGAAGAUAAUGACGGUACCUGACUAAGAAGCACCGGCUAAAUACGUGCCAGCAGCCGCGGUAAUACGUAUGGUGCAAGCGUUAUCCGGAUUUACUGGGUGUAAAGGGCGCGUAGGCGGGAAAGCAAGUCAGAUGUGAAAUUCCACGGCUUAACUGUGGGCGUGCAUUUGAAACUGUUUUUCUUGAGUACUGGAGAGGUGGGCGGAAUUCCCAGUGUAGCGGUGAAAUGCAUAGAUAUUGGGAGGAACAUCAGUGGCGAAGGCGGCCUACUGGACAGCAACUGACGCUGAGGCGCGAAAGCGUGGGGAGCAAACAGGAUUAGAUACCCUGGUA